AUUGCAGGCUGCAACCCGCCCUGCAUGAAGUCGGAAUUGCUAGUAAUCGCGGAUCAGCAUGCCGCGGUGAAUACGUUCCCGGGCCUUGUACACACCGCCCGUCACACCAUGGGAGCCGGUAAUACCCGAAGUCAGUAGUCCAACCACGUGAGGACGCUGCCGAAGGUAGGAUUGGCGACUGGGGUGAAGUCGUAACAAGGUAAC
rnacentral:rRNA from 1 species